rnacentral:rRNA from 1 species
GACGAACGCUGGCGGCAUGCCUAAUACAUGCAAGUCGAGCGAACGGAAGAAGUGCUUGCACUUCUGACGUUAGCGGCGAACGGGUGAGUAACACGUAAGGAAUCUACCUAUAAGCGGGGGAUAACAUUCGGAAACGGGUGCUAAUACCGCAUCAUAUCUUCUUCCGCAUGGAAGAAGAUUGAAAGACGGCUCUUCUGUCACUUAUAGAUGACCUUGCGGUGCAUUAGUUAGUUGGUGGGGUAAUGGCCUACCAAGACGAUGAUGCAUAGCCGACCUGAGAGGGUGAUCGGCCACAUUGGGACUGAGACACGGCCCAAACUCCUACGGGAGGCAGCAGUAGGGAAUCUUCCGCAAUGGGCGAAAGCCUGACGGAGCAAUGCCGCGUGAGUGAGGAAGGCCUUCGGGUCGUAAAACUCUGUUAUAAGAGAAGAACAAAUUGUAGAGUAACUGCUACAGUCUUGACGGUAUCUUAUCAGAAAGCCACGGCUAACUACGUGCCAGCCGCCGCCGUAA